rnacentral:miRNA from 1 species
CAAGCUUAUCCGGUGUGGAUAUACACUCAAAGUAACAUCACAAGCAUGAAUAUGAUGCUUGUGAUGUUACUUUAAGUGUAUAUCCACACCGGGUAAGCUU